rnacentral:misc_RNA from 1 species
UAGCUAGACUGUUUCAGUCUGGCUGUACGGAGCUUGAACUACAAUCCUGUAAUUGGAUUUUUUCCUACAGAUGCUGUUAAGAGGUAUAGCAGGCUUCAACAAAAUCAGUGUCGGCUUGCUUAGAAAAUAGAAAACAUAGCCUAGGUGUGUAGGGGUGGUUGCUUUAAUUUCUAGUGUUUGAAUCGUGCUGGGAGCAUAUCCGAUUUUGUUUUAUCUUUGUGGCUUCUGUAGGGCGGCUGACAAUAUUGUCAUUGACCUUCUCACGAAUAUGCCUAUGGAUUCCAAAA